rnacentral:sRNA from 1 species
GCCAGAUGUGGUGGUGUAUGCCUGUAAUCCCAGCAGCUCAGGAGGCUGAGGUAGGAGGAUCGUGAGUUCAAAGCCAGCCUCAACAACGAUGAGGUGCUAAGCAAUUCAGUGAGACCCUGUCUCUA